AUCGGGCUCAGACGGCACCAUGUCCCGAACCUGGUCAGGUCCGGAAGGAAGCAGCCAUAAGGGGCCGCUGGUGAGCGUCUGAGUCCAUUCUG
rnacentral:SRP_RNA from 1 species